rnacentral:rRNA from 1 species
AACCUUUACAAUGCACGAAAGUGUGAUAAGGGAAUCCCAAGUGCCUUGCUUUUAGUAAGGCUUUUGCCAUGUGUAAAUAACAUGGCGAAUAAGUGGUGGGCAAGACUUGUGCCAGCCGCCGCGGUAACACCAGCGCCACAAGUGGCAACCGCUUUUAUUGGGCCUAAAGCGUCCGUAGCCGGUCCGGUAAAUUUUCUGUGAAAUCGUUGGGCUUAACUUAACGUCGUGCAGAAAAGACUACCGGACUUGGGACCGGGAGGCGUCAGAGGUAUUCUUGAGGGAGCGGUAAAAUGCUAUAAUCUCAGGAGGACCCCCUGUGGCGAAAGCGUCUGACGAGAACGGAUCCGACGGUGAGGGUCGAAAGCUAGGGGAGCAAACCGG